rnacentral:rRNA from 1 species
AGUGAACGCUGGCGGUAGGCCUAACACAUGCAAGUCGAACGGCAGCACAGGAGAGCUUGCUCUCUGGGUGGCGAGUGGCGGACGGGUGAGGAAUACAUCGGAAUCUACUUUUUCGUGGGGGAUAACGUAGGGAAACUUACGCUAAUACCGCAUACGACCUACGGGUGAAAGCAGGGGACCUUCGGGCCUUGCGCGAUUGAAUGAGCCGAUGUCGGAUUAGCUAGUUGGCGGGGUAAAGGCCCACCAAGGCGACGAUCCGUAGCUGGUCGGGGAGGGUGGGCAAGCACACUGGAACUGAGACACCGUCCAGCCUCCUACGGGAGGCAGGAGUGGGGAAUAUUGGACAAUGGGCGCAAGCCUGAUCCAGCCAUACCGCGUGGGUGAAGAAGGCCUUCGGGUUGUAAAGCCCUUUUGUUGGGAAAGAAAUCCAUCUGGUUAAUACCCGGGUGGGAUGACGGUACCCAAAGAAUAAGCACCGGCUAACUUCGUGCCAGCCGCCGCGGUAA